rnacentral:sRNA from 1 species
UGAAUAGUUUUUCGACAAUGCAUACAAAGC